AGGGUUCGAUUAUGGCUCAGGACGAACGCUGGCGGCAUGCCUAACACAUGCAAGUCGAACGAGAAAGCUCCUUCGGGAGCAAUUAAAGUGGCGCACGGGUGAGUAACGCGUAGACAAUCUGCCCUUCAGUCUGGGACAACUUUUCGAAAGGAGAGCUAAUACCGGAUAACAAUAUUUGGCAUAAGCCAAAUAUUUGAAAGCUUUAUGUGCUGAGGGAGGGGUCUGCGUCCCAUUAGCUUGUUGGUAAGGUAACGGCUUACCAAGGCAACGAUGGGUAGCGGGUUUGAGAGGACGAUCCGCCACACUGGAACUGAGACACGGUCCAGACUCCUACGGGAGGCAGCAGUGGGGAAUAUUGCACAAUGGAGGAAACUCUGAUGCAGCAAUGCCGCGUGAGUGAAGAAGGCCCUUGGGUCGUAAAGCUCUUUUAUGAGGGAAGAUGAUGACGGUACCUCAGGAAUAAGCACCGGCUAACUACGUGCCAGCCGCCGCGGUAAUAC
rnacentral:rRNA from 1 species